CUCACGGCUGGACAAAAAGAGCAGCCACAGUGGCUGCACUGGUGCCGCUGAUCGGAGGCCAAAAUCAGCUACGUUCGGUUUUCCGAAAAGCCCGAGACAACUCCAACGUCCUGUCUUCCAUUCGAGAGCAUCAUCCUAUCAUGUGGGCAGCUCAUGUGGAUGGGUUCAGACCGCAGAAGGGGCAUCACUUGGCGAGGAUCGUGUUCGUGUGGAGAAGCUAGAGGCCGGAUACUUGGACAGCUCCUACACCAACGUCUGAGGGACUUUUACUUCAAGAGGGUGAACCCAUUAGCGGACUGCCAUCGAUCCUGUGGGCUCGGACAGCUCUUAAAGCGGCGUUCUUACUUUUCUGACGCUGAUCCAUCUCCCGAAAGAGCAUUUCUAGCUCGGUUAUCAUAUCUGUGCAACGAGUUUGAGCGAGUCUAUCCAUUUUCCUGCAUUUAAGAAAAUUAAUGAGCAAACCAGAGGUAGGCAGAAAUUAACA